UACAGAGGGUGCGAGCGUUAAUCGGAAUUACUGGGCGUAAAGCGUGCGUAGACGGUUAUUUAAGUCAGGUGUGAAAGCCCAGGGCUCAACCUUGGAAUUGCAUUUGAGACUGAAUAGCUAGGGUGCGGAAGAGGGAAGCGGAAUUUCCGGUGUAGCGGUGAAAUGCGUAGAUAUCGGAAGGAACACCAGUGGCGAAAGCGGCUUCCUGGUCCAGCACCGACGUCAGGCACGAAAGCGUGGGGAGCAAACAGG
rnacentral:rRNA from 1 species